rnacentral:lncRNA from 1 species
GGGUGAUGAGGAGGUGGUGGAGAAGCAUAAAUAUAAGGCUUAUCAGCCACCACAGCAGUGGCUACAAGGCAAAAAACUAUAGCAUGUAUGAUCGGAGACCAAUGUCCCUGCUUCUAGGUACCCAUUUUUAAAAGUAGAAAAUGUUUGUUUUUGUGUUGUGCAUGGCAGACAUGAACACAAGCCCUUUAUAUAGGGCUUCUCUUCCAUCAUUGCUAACAAACAUGUACUUCUUUAAUGAUGAUUACAGGCUGGAAUAGACCAUUAAAAUUAC